GGCGUAGGCGGCUUUUCAAGUCGGAUGUGAAAUUUCCCGGCUCAACCGGGACGAGUCAUUCGAUACUGUUGGGCUAGAGGACGGCAGGAGGAGAUGGAAUUCCCGGUGUAGUGGUGAUAUGCGUAGAUAUCGGGAGGAACACCAGAGGCGAAGGCGAUCUCCUAGGCUGUAUCUGACGCUGAGGCCCGAAAGCGUGGGGAGCGAACA
rnacentral:rRNA from 1 species